GACUAGUGUUGUCUUGACUGUCUCUCGUGUAUGAUGCCUGUUCCUGCUCGUCUGUGCAGCUGCUGUAGGCGGUCUCGUGUUGUUUGGUGAAUCUCGCCAUGUUGGGCGCGUGUUGUGAAUAUCAAAAAGACGCCCGCAGGCCGUGCCAUGAGCAUCCCGCGUUUCUCACUCUCUCACUUCAACAAGGUGUCCUCGCGCCGAUUGUGAACCUUUUAUUAUGGCCUAUCAUGCAUCUCGUAGAGUUGACGCAGCUCGCCAACCGCUUCGGCCCAGGCCUAUAUCUCGCCGAGCAAUCGUCUCUCAAACUAUUCUCCUGCAAUGCCUUCUUCUUUUAUUCGCAUUAGUGAGGGCAGGCGGCACAAGCGCCCGGAUUCUUGCAGCAAACCCGACAACGGACGUAGCACUUCCUUUCUGUGGCGAAU